GAUGAACGCUGGCGGCGUGCCUAAUACAUGCAAGUCGAGCGAACGGACGAGAAGCUUGCUUCUCUGAUGUUAGCGGCGGACGGGUGAGUAACACGUGGAUAACCUACCUAUAAGACUGGGAUAACUUCGGGAAACCGGAGCUAAUACCGGAUAAUAUUUUGAACCGCAUGGUUCAAAAGUGAAAGACGGUCUUGCUGUCACUUAUAGAUGGAUCAGCGCUGCAUUAGCUAGUUGGUAAGGUAACGGCUUACCACGGCAACGAUGCAUAGCCGACCUGAGCGGGUGAUCGGCCACACUGGAACUGAGGCACGGUCCAGACUCCUACGGGAGGCAGCAGUAGGGAAUCUUCCGCAAUGGGCGAAAGCCUGACGGAGCAACGCCGCGUGAGUGAUGAAGGUCUUCGGAUCGUAAAACUCUGUUAUUAGGGAAGAACAUAUGUGUAAGUAACUGUGCACAUCUUGACGGUACCUAAUCAGAAAGCCACGGCUAACUACGUG
rnacentral:rRNA from 1 species